rnacentral:rRNA from 1 species
UACGUAGGGUGCAAGCGUUGUCCGGAAUUAUUGGGCGUAAAGAGCUCGUAGGCGGUUUGUCGCGUCUGCUGUGAAAACCUAAGGCUCAACCUUGGGCUUGCAGUGGGUACGGGCGAGACUAGAGUGCGGUAGGGGUGACUGGAAUUCCUGGUGUAGCGGUGGAAUGCGCAGAUAUCAGGAGGAACACCGAUGGCGAAGGCAGGUCACUGGGCAGUAACUGACGCUGGAGGAGCGAAAGCGUGGGGAGCGAACAGG